GUGAGGAAUAUUGGUCAAUGGACGAGAGUCUGAACCAGCCAAGUCGCGUGAAGGAAGACGGUUCUAUGAAUUGUAAACUUCUUUUGUGCAGGAAUAAAGUGGGUUACGUGUAACCUUUUGUAUGUACUGUACGAAUAAGGAUCGGCUAAUUCCGUGCCAGCAGCCGCGGUAAUACGGAGGAUCCGAGCGUUAUCCGGAUUUAUUGGGUUUAAAGGGUGCGUAGGUGGAUUGAUAAGUCAGCGGUGAAAGUUUGCAGCUUAACUGUAAAAUUGCCGUUGAAACUGUCGGUCUUGAGUGCAAAUGAGGUAGGCGGAAUGUGUUGUGUAGCGGUGAAAUGCUUAGAUAUAACACAGAACUCCGAUUGCGAAGGCAGCUUACUGGGAUGCAACUGACACUGAUGCACGAAAGCGUGGGUAUCAAAUAGGAUUAGAAACCCUGGUAGUCC
rnacentral:rRNA from 1 species